CCUGAACGCUGGCGGCGUGGCUAAGACAUGCAAGUCGAACGGGUGUAGCAAUACACCAGUGGCGGACGGGUGAGUAAUGUAUCGCUAACGUGCCCUGGAAUCUGAGAUAGCCAAUCGAAAGGUUGGGUAAUACCAGAUGAAAUAUCCUUAUCGCAUGAUGAGGAUCUCAAAGGAGCAAUCCGGUCUGGGAGCGGGCGAUAUCGUAUCAGCUAGUUGGUGAGGUAACGGCUCACCAAGGCGACGACGCGUAGCCGGGCUGAGAGGUCGGCCGGCCACAUUGGGACUGAGACACUGCCCAGACU
rnacentral:rRNA from 1 species